ensembl:lncRNA
AGCCACUCUCCCAUUCCCAAACCUCGGAAAGACAGUGGGAUAAAAUAUAAUGAAAAUAAACAAACAAACAAACAAAACCCUCAUGAGUUGAAGUAAGGACAGGGGGAUGUCUCACCAGUUACCAUCAUGGGCUAAACAAACUCAAUGUGAGAAAGAUUAGUAUAAUUUAUUGCAUACUGAUAGAGCAGUGAGAACUAAAAGCAAUCUGAAAAUACCUUGCCCUCACCCACACUCUUCUGCCUCCUCCCCUCAAGCAGUACAGGGAAAUGUGGGUUGAAAUCAGUCCAUAAUGCCUUGUCUCUGCCUCUCCUUCAUGGUCACUCUCUUCUUCUCUGCUACAGCCACCCACAGGAUGCUGUCCUUCCUGAACUGAUUUCUUUAGGUCUCACUCUGUUUUGCAAACAGAACAUCAGGAACCAUCUCUGCUUGGAAAGCCACCAGGAGGAGGCUUGGCCUUCCCAGAAGUGCACCAACAGCAGCAAAGAGUCUCUUGCAACCACUUAGCUACCUCUUUCUGCUCCGCAGCUGGGAUUAAUGCCCAAUUCUGUGAGCAUUUUUCCUCUUCCUCCUGUUUGCUCCACUGCAAAGUCAGACAGCUUAGUAUAAACUCCCUUCAAAGAAGCAUUCCAGCUGCUGAAUCAGCUGAGAAGACAAAGAGCAAGGCUGGUGUGAAGCCCAUUCUGGAGCAGUGGAAACCAACAAAAUUAAAACAAACAAACAAAAAAUAUAUGAGGAAUCUGCACACAGGUGUGUGUGGUGCAGAGAAAAACUCUUAGCCUUUUUUCACUUGAUUUGCCAAAUCCCCAGCCCUGCAUCAGGGCUCCCAGCUCUGCCCAGCUUCCGG